rnacentral:rRNA from 1 species
CCUACGGGUGGCUGCAGUGAGGAAUAUUGGUCAAUGGGCGUAAGCCUGAACCAGUCAAGUCGCGUGAGGGAUGAAGGUUCUAUGGAUCGUAAAUCUCUUUUAUAAGGGAAUAAAGUGCGGGACGUGUUCCGUUUUGCAUGUACCUUCUGAAUAAGGACCGGCUAACUCCGUGCCAGCAACCGCGGUAAUACGGGGGAUCCGAGGGUUAUCCGGUUUUAUUGGGUUUAAAGGGUUCGUAGCGGCCUUUUAAGUCAGCGGUGAAAGUCUGUGGCUCAACCAUAGAAUUGCCGUUAAAACUAGGAGGCUUGAGUAUGUUUGAGGCAGGCGGAAUGCGUGGUGUAGCGGCGAAAUGCUUAGAUAUCACGCAGAACCCCGAUUGCGAAGGCAGCCUGCCAAGCCAUGACUGACGCUGAUGCACGAAAGCGUGGGGAUCAAACAGGAUUAGAUACCCCUGUAGUC